rnacentral:rRNA from 1 species
GAUGAACGCUAGCUACAGGCUUAACACAUGCAAGUCGAGGGACCGGCGCACGGGUGAGUAACACGUAUCCCACCUGCCCUUUACUCGGGAAUAGCCUUUCGAAAGACAGAUUAAUACCCAAUGUAAAGGAUGGGGAUGCGUUCCAUUAGGUUGUUGGUGAGGUAACGGCUCACCAAACCUUCGAUGGAUAGGGGUGCUGAGAGGAAGGUCCACCACAUUGGAACUGAGACACGGUCCAAACGCGUACGGGAGGCAGCAGUGCGGAAUAUUGGUCAAUGGGCGUUAGCCUGAACCAGCCAAGUAGCGUGAAGGAUGAAGGCUUAUGGGUCGUAAACUUCUUUUAUAUAAGAAUAUGUAUUAUAUGAAUAAGGAUCGGCUAACUACGUGCCAGCAGCCGCGGUAAUAC